rnacentral:rRNA from 1 species
GAUGAACGCUGGCGGCGUGCCUAAUACAUGCAAGUCGAGCGAACAGUCGAGGAGCUUGCUCCUCUGGCGUUAGCGGCGGACGGGUGAGUAACACGUGGAUAACCUACCUAUAAGACUGGGAUAACUUCGGGAAACCGGAGCUAAUACCGGAUAAUAUAUUGAACCGCAUGGUUCAAUAGUGAAAGACGGUUUUGCUGUCACUUAUAGAUGGAUCCGCGCCGCAUUAGCUAGUUGGUAAGGUAACGGCUUACCAAGGCAACGAUGCGUAGCCGACCUGAGAGGGUGAUCGGCCACACUGGAACUGAGACACGGUCCAGACUCCUACGGGAGGCAGCAGUAGGGAAUCUUCCGCAAUGGGCGAAAGCCUGACGGAGCAACGCCGCGUGAGUGAUGAAGGUCUUCGGAUCGUAAAACUCUGUUAUUAGGGAAGAACAAAUGUGUAAGUAACUAUGCACGUCUUGACGGUACCUAAUCAGAAAGCCACGGCUAACUACGUG